UGGCGACCUGUCCAGUCACUAACCUACAACUCUCAGCUGCACUUCAACGGCACAUCAUUCUUCCAGUUGAACAAGGUAUUCAAAGCCUCAGGUCCAUUGGAUAUAAAGCAUUCAGAAGACAUGCACAGACAUAUCUGAAGCCAGCAGUGAUCCACAAAGGGCAUCAGUUUCAGGAAAGACAGUGGAAAAAAAUCAAGCCAGCGAAAAGUCAAACUUGGUAGACAUAUGUGGGCAGACAGUCCAGGUCACAGAGCUAAGUAUGGCAACUACUCGCUGAUGAACCUGGAAAACAACAAUAUAAUUGAUAUGCAGCUUGUUCAG